rnacentral:rRNA from 1 species
UACGGGGGGGCAAGCGUUGUUCGGAAUUACUGGGCGUAAAGGGCUUGUAGGCGGCCAACUAAGUCAUACGUGAAAUCCCUCGGCUUAACCGGGGAACUGCGUCUGAUACUGGAUGGCUUGAGAUUGGGAGAGGGAUGCGGAAUUCCAGGUGUAGCGGUGAAAUGCGUAGAUAUCAGGAGGAACAUCGAUGGCGAAGGCAGCCCCUUGGACCUGUACUGACGCUCAUGCACGAAAGCGUGGGGAGCAAACAGG